CGUAUCACUUAAAGCGAUUCAGCGGGUUACGAUUGACGGAGCGAAGCGACGUCAAAGCGUAUACAAAGUCGAGUCGGUUUAAGGAUACGUUCGUUGGGUAGGGGAGCGUUCUGUAAGCCUGUGAAGGUGGCCUGUGAGGGUUGCUGGAGGUAUCAGAAGUGCGAAUGCUGACAUAAGUAACGAUAAAGCGGGUGAAAAGCCCGCUCGCCGGAAGACCAAGGGUUCCUGUCCAACGUUAAUCGGGGCAGGGUGAGUCGACCCCUAAGGCGAGGCCGAAAGGCGUAGUCGAUGGGAAACAGGUUAAUAUUCCUGUACUUGGUGUUACUGCGAAGGGGGGACGGAGAAGGCUAUGUUGGCCGGGCGACGGUUGUCCCGGUUUAAGCGUGUAGGCUGGUUUUCCAGGCAAAUCCGGAAAAUCAAGGCUGAGGCGUGAUGACGAGGCACUACGGUGCUGAAGCAACAAAUGCCCUGCUUCCAGGAAAAGCCUCUAAGCAUCAGGUAACAUCAAAUCGUACCCCAAACCGACACAGGUGGUCAGGUAGAGAAUACCAAGGCGCUUGAGAGAACUCGGGUGAAGGAACUAGGCAAAAUGGUGCCGUAACUUCGGGAGAAGGCACGCUGACACGUAGGUGAAGUGAUUUACUCACGGAGCUGAAGUCAGUCGAAGAUACCAGCUGGCUGCAACUGUUUAUUAAAAACACAGCACUGUGCAAACACGAAAGUGGACGUAUACGGUGUGACGCCUGCCCGGUGCCGGAAGGUUAAUUGAUGGGGUCAGCGCAAGCGAAGCUCCUGAUCGAAGCCCCGGUAAACGGCGGCCGUAACUAUAACGGUCCUAAGGUAGCGAAAUUCCUUGUCGGGUAAGUUCCGACCUGCACGAAUGGCGUAAUGAUGGCCAGGCUGUCUCCACCCGAGACUCAGUGAAAUUGAACUCGCUGUGAAGAUGCAGUGUACCCGCGGCAAGACGGAAAGACCCCGUGAACCUUUACUAUAGCUUGACACUGAACAUUGAGCCUUGAUGUGUAGGAUAGGUGGGAGGCUUUGAAGUGUGGACGCCAGUCUGCAUGGAGCCGACCUUGAAAUACCACCCUUUAAUGUUUGAUGUUCUAACGUGGACCCGUAAUCCGGGUUGCGGACAGUGUCUGGUGGGUAGUUUGACUGGGGCGGUCUCCUCCUAAAGAGUAACGGAGGAGCACGAAGGUUGGCUAAUCCUGGUCGGACAUCAGGAGGUUAGUGCAAUGGCAUAAGCCAGCUUGACUGCGAGCGUGACGGCGCGAGCAGGUGCGAAAGCAGGUCAUAGUGAUCCGGUGGUUCUGAAUGGAAGGGCCAUCGCUCAACGGAUAAAAGGUACUCCGGGGAUAACAGGCUGAUACCGCCCAAGAGUUCAUAUCGACGGCGGUGUUUGGCACCUCGAUGUCGGCUCAUCACAUCCUGGGGCUGAAGUAGGUCCCAAGGGUAUGGCUGUUCGCCAUUUAAAGUGGUACGCGAGCUGGGUUUAGAACGUCGUGAGACAGUUCGGUCCCUAUCUGCCGUGGGCGCUGGAGAACUGAGGGGGGCUGCUCCUAGUACGAGAGGACCGGAGUGGACGCAUCACUGGUGUUCGGGUUGUCAUGCCAAUGGCACUGCCCGGUAGCUAAAUGCGGAAGAGAUAAGUGCUGAAAGCAUCUAAGCACGAAACUUGCCCCGAGAUGAGUUCUCCCUGAGACUUAGAGUCUCCUGAAGGAACGUUGAAGACGACGACGUUGAUAGGCCGGGUGUGUAAGCGCAGCGAUGCGUUGAGCUAACCGGUACUAAUGAACCGUGAGGCUUAACCUUACA
rnacentral:rRNA from 1 species